CACAAAUCGAUGCAGAAGCUGCUGAUCACACAGAGCAGGUCUCAAAAGAUGGCCAUUUAUCUGUGGAUGCACCAAUAAUUACUGGUCAAGUCCCAGUUAACCAUGACAAUGAUGCUGAUCGCCAAAUUACUGUCCAUGAACCAAUUAGCCACACAGAACAGUGUACCACCGCAGAGCAAUUUCAGUUGGAAGAUGCCAACACACCUGAAUCCUUAGUAUCCUUCGGUCAGCCAACACAAGAAUGGGAAGUUAGCCAACAACUUCGAGAUGCUAAUAUUCAC